AGAGUUUGAUCAUGGCUCAGAACGAACGCUGGCGGCAUGCCUAACACAUGCAAGUCGAACGUGAUCCAGGCUUCGGUCUGGUGAAAGUGGCAAACGGGUGAGUAACGCGUGGGAACCUGCCCAGAGGUAGGGAAUAACUGCGGGAAACUGCAGCUAAUACCCUAUGUGUCCUGAGGGACAAAGAUUUAUCGCCUUUGGAGGGGCCCGCGUCGGAUUAGGUAGUUGGUGGGGUAACGGCCUACCAAGCCAUCGAUCCGUAGCUGGUCUGAGAGGAUGAUCAGCCACACUGGGACUGAGAUACGGCCCAGACUCCUACGGGAGGCAGCAGUGGGGAAUAUUGGACAAUGGGGGCAACCCUGAUCCAGCAAUGCCGCGUGAGUGAUGAAGGCCUUCGGGUUGUAAAGCUCUUUCGGCGGGGAAGAUGAUGACGGUACCCGCAGAAGAAGCCCCGGCUAACUUCGUGCCAGCAGCCGCGGUAAUACGAAGGGGGCUAGCGUUGUUCGGAAUUACUGGGCGUAAAGGGCGCGUAGGCUGUGCUGUAAGUCAGGCGUGAAAUCCCCGGGCUCAACCUGGGAAUUGCGUUUGAUACUGCGGCGCUGGAAUGCAGGAGAGGAUGGCGGAAUUCCCAGUGUAGAGGUGAAAUUCGUAGAUAUUGGGAAGAACACCGGUGGCGAAGGCGGCCAUCUGGCCUGUAAUUGACGCUGAGGCGCGAAAGCGUGGGGAGCAAACAGGAUUAGAUACCCNNGUAGUCC
rnacentral:rRNA from 1 species